rnacentral:rRNA from 1 species
UACGUAGGGUGCAAGCGUUGUCCGGAAUUAUUGGGCGUAAAGAGCUUGUAGGCGGUUUGUCGCGUCUGCUGUGAAAUUUCGGGGCUCAACCCCGAACUUGCAGUGGGUACGGGCAGACUAGAGUGUGGUAGGGGAGACUGGAAUUCUCGGUGUAGCGGUGAAAUGCGUAGAUAUCUGGAGGAACACCGGUGGCGAAGGCGGCAUCCUGGACCGAGAUUGACGCUGAUGCGCGAAAGCCAGGGAGCAAACGGG